UGGGCGCAAGCCUGAUCCAGCAAUGCCGCGUGCAGUGAAGAAGGCCUUCGGGUUGUAAACCGUCUUUUGUCCGGAACGAAAAGGCUCUGGUUAAUACCUGGGGCUCCUGACGGUUCCGUGAGAAUAAGCACCGGCUAACUACGUGCCAGCAGCCGCGGUAAUACGUAGGGUGCGAGCGUUAAUCGGAAUUACUGGGCGUAAAGCGUGCGCAGGCGGUUUUGUAAGACAGGCGUGAAAUCCCCGGGCUUAACCUGGGAAUUGCGCUUGUGACUGCAAGGCUGGAGUGCGGCAGAGGGGAAUGGAAUUCCGCGUGUAGCAGUGAAAUGCGUAGAUAUGCGGAGGAACACCGAUGGCGAAGGCAAUCCCCUGGGCCUGCACUGACGCUCAUGCACGAAAGCGUGGGGAGCAAACAGGAUUAGAUACCCUGGUAGUCCACGCCCUAAACGAUGUCAACUGGUUGUUGGGUAUCUUCUGACUCAUUAACGAAGCUAACGCGUGAAGUUGACCGCCUGGGGAU
rnacentral:rRNA from 1 species